rnacentral:rRNA from 1 species
AGUGAACGCUGGCGGUAGGCCUAACACAUGCAAGUCGAACGGCAGCACAGGAGAGCUUGCUCUCUGGGUGGCGAGUGGCGGACGGGUGAGGAAUACAUCGGAAUCUACUCUGUCGUGGGGGAUAACGUAGGGAAACUUACGCUAAUACCGCAUACGACCUACGGGUGAAAGCAGGGGACCUUCGGGCCUUGCGCGAUUGAAUGAGCCGAUGUCGGAUUAGCUAGUUGGCGGGGUAAAGGCCCACCAAGGCGACGAUCCGUAGCUGGUCUGAGAGGAUGAUGAGCCACACUGGAACUGAGACACGGUCCAGACUCCUACGGGAGUCAGCAGUGGGGAAUAUUGGACAAUGGUCGCAAGCCUGAUCCAGCCAUACCGCGUGGGUGAAGAGGGCCUUCGGGUUGUAAAGCCCUUUUGUUGGGAAAGAAAUCCAGCUGGCUAAUACCCGGUUGGGAUGACGGUACCCAAAGAAUAAGCACCGGCUAACUUCGUGCCAGCCGCCGCCGUAA